GACGAACGCUGGCGGCGUGCUUAACACAUGCAAGUGGAGCGACGAACCGGGGCUUGCCCCGGGGCAGAGCCGCGAACGGGUGAGUAACACGUGGGUAACCUGCCCUGUUGAUUGGGACAACCCCGGGAAACCGGGGCUAAUACCAAAUGUGCUCGGGCCACAUCAGUGGCUUUGAGGAAAGGAGGCUUCGGCUUCCGCAACGGGAUGGGCCCGCGGCCCAUUAGCUAGUUGGUGUGGGUAACGGCCCACCAAGGCUUCGAUGGGUAGCUGGUCUGAGAGGACGAUCAGCCACACUGGGACUGAGACACGGCCCAGACUCCUACGGGAGGCAGCAGUGGGGAAUCUUGCGCAAUGCGCGAAAGCGUGACGCAGCAACGCCGCGUGAGGGAAGACGGCCUUCGGUU
rnacentral:rRNA from 1 species